rnacentral:ribozyme from 1 species
GAAGAACGGUAAUUAAAUUGACAAGAACAAGGAGAAGGAGAAAAAAAUUAUGUUCGAGACGGCAGUUGUGACCACUGAGGUUUUUUUUUUUUUUUUUUUU